AUCUUGGGAAAUUUCAUCGUGAUGGGGAUAGAUCAUUGCAAUUGUUGGUCUUCAACGAGGAAUGCCUAGUAAGCGCGAGUCAUCAGCUCGCGUUGACUACGUCCCUGCCCUUUGUACACACCGCCCGUCGCUCCUACCGAUUGAAUGGUCCGGUGAAGUGUUCGGAUCGCGGCGACGGGGGCGGUUCGCCGCCCCCGACGUCGCGAGAAGUCCAUUGAACCUUAUCAUUUAGAGGAAGGAGAAGUCGUAACAAGGUUUCCGUAGGUGAACCUGCGGAAGGAUCAUUG
rnacentral:ncRNA from 96 species